AUGCAGGACAUGGAUGGCGGCAACGCAAUGCUUCUGGCAGUGGUUUCCACCAUCUUCGCCGGUGGAUCCCCAGGCUGGAGAUUUCCGGCGAGUUCAGGUGCCGUUUCCGGUGAGGAACAUUGUUGGUGGACAAGUUCAGAGCUUGAAGAUGUGAAGAAGUUGAGGCUAGCAUGGAGAAGAAGGCUUGGCUUUCUACAUAGAACUCUUGAAGCUUAUCUUUAG